UACAGAGGGGGCAAGCGUUGUUCGGAAUUACUGGGCGUAAAGAGCUUGUAGGCGGUUUGUCGCGUCUGCUGUGAAAUUUCGGGGCUCAACCCCGAACUUGCAGUGGGUACGGGCAGACUAGAGUGUGGUAGGGGGGACUGGAAUUCCUGGUGUAGCGGUGAAAUGCGCAGAUAUCAGGAGGAACACCGAUGGCGAAGGCAGGUCGCUGGGCCGCGACUGACGCUGAGAAGCGAAAGCAUGGGGAGCGAACAGG
rnacentral:rRNA from 1 species